CGUAAACAGAGGGAAGCGAGCCCGCGAGGGGGAGCGAAUCCCAAAAACAACGUCCCAGUUCGGAUUGUAGUCUGCAACCCGACUACAUGAAGCCGGAAUCGCUAGUAAUCGCGGAUCAGAAUGCCGCGGUGAAUACGUUCCCGGGUCUUGUACACACCGCCCGUCACACCAUGGGAGUCGGAACUGCCCGAAGUCUGUGACCCAACCGUAAGGAGGGAGCAGCCGAAGGCAGGUCGGAUGACUGGGGUGAAGUCGUAACAAGGUACC
rnacentral:rRNA from 1 species